UCGUCCCUAUGGGAUGUCUGACUCUUAGGGACAGCAGCAGCAGCAGCAGCAACUGCUCCAGGCAUGUGAAGGCCAUGGCAACCUGCUCCAUCAAUCACUGCAUGGGCAUCGCCGUUCCUUCGACGUGUGACGAAGGGGUUUUCCUCGACAGGGUUUAUAUAAUCUAGAAAAAGAGGGACGUAAACAGAGGCACCAAGAAUGUGGUUCCUGUGGGACUCGAACCCAGAACUCUCUGCUUCCCAGGGCUGUUGGAUAACCGUCCUGCUCCUUUUCUCCUUUUGUCCGUUCUCCUAAAAGACCGGUGGGAUCUGCACUGUAGCGCUGUCCAGUGCUGUCCUCCUCUCCACCUGUGACAGAAAAAUAACAGGGUCAACAUUUCAAGAUGACAGACUUGGUGUAAUAUGUCAUUCUCUCUAGUCAAAUAUGAACAGAGAGAGAAAAAAGCUGUAAAAUAAAAUAAAAAUAAACUGACACCAUUG